UACGUAGGUGGCGAGCGUUGUCCGGAUUUACUGGGCGUAAAGAGCGCGCAGGCGGUCGUGCAAGUCGCGUGUGAAGGCCCCCGGCUCAACUGGGGAGGGUCACGCGAUACUGCUCGACUCGAAGGCAGGAGAGGGAAGUGGAAUUCCCGGUGUAGUGGUGAAAUGCGUAGAUAUCGGGAGGAACACCAGUGGCGAAGGCGACUUCCUGGCCUGUUCUUGACGCUGAGGCGCGAAAGCUAGGGGAGCAAACGGG
rnacentral:rRNA from 1 species